GACGGAGGAUGCAAGCGUUAUCCGGAAUCAUUGGGCGUAAAGCGUACGUAGGCGGCUUAUCCAGUCUGGGGUCAAAGACCACAGCUUAACUGUGGAAAGGCCUUGGAAACUAGUGAGCUGGAGUGAGGUAGGGGUUGCGGGAAUUCCCGGUGUAGCGGUGAAAUGCGUAGAUAUCGGGAAGAACACCUGAGGCGAAAGCGCGCGACUGGGCCUUCACUGACGCUGAGGUACGAAAGCUAGGGGAGCGAAUGGG
rnacentral:rRNA from 1 species